rnacentral:lncRNA from 1 species
CUGCACCAAAUUUCCCUGGCAUUCCCUCUUUGCCUUCAAUUCCAACCCUUCCUCAGGGUAAUGUUCCACCAUUGCCCACUAUCCCAUCUCUGCCACAGCCUACCCUGCCAUCUAUGCCUACAACUUUGCCUCCACUUCCUAGCAACAUCCCUACCCUGCCAUCUAUGCCUACCACUUUGCCUCCACUUCCUAGCAACAUCCCUAACAUUCCAACAAUUCCACAGCUCAACGUUCCUCCAUUGCCCUCCAUCCCCACAUUCACAAUUCCAACUACUAUGCCCUCCAUCCCAUUCCUCUCCCCACCACCUUCCACCUCCACCCCUUAAAGUACCUUACAUUUCUUCAUCCUGGGCAAGCUCCUAUCUGAUUCUGAUUUCCUACCAGUGCCUAGUUGCAUGCAUGCUAUAGAUAUGGCCUGAUUACUUUUAUGUGAGAGUGUUGUGUGGUGUUUUCCUCCUACUUC